rnacentral:rRNA from 1 species
CCUACGGGCGGCAGCAGUGAGGAAUAUUGGUCAAUGGACGAGAGUCUGAACCAGCCAAGUAGCGUGAAGGAUGACUGCCCUAUGGGUUGUAAACUUCUUUUAUAUGGGAAUAAAAUGUUCCACGUGUGGGAUUUUGUAUGUACCAUAUGAAUAAGGAUCGGCUAACUCCGUGCCAGCAGCCGCGGUAAUACGGAGGAUCCGAGAUUUAUCCGGAUUUAUUGGGUUUAAAGGGAGCGUAUGUGGAUUGUUAAGUCAGUUGUGAAAGUUUGCGGCUCAAACGUAAAAUUGCAGUUGAAACUGUGAGUCUUGAGUACAGUAGAGGUGGGCGGAAGUCGUGGUGUAGUGGUGAAAUGCUUAGAUAUCACGAAGAACUCCGAUUGCGAAGGCAGCUCACUGGACUGCAACUGAAACGGAGGCUCGAAAGUGUGGGUAUCAAACAGGAUUAGAGACCCGGGUAGUC